ACCCCACCCCUGGCCCUGAUUCCACCUCCUGACCUACCCACUCCCUGUCCGGGCUUCACCCUAUUCUGUCACUGCUGUGGGUCCCCUGUCCUGGCCUGCCCACCCCCACUUGCACUGGGUGGGGUAGAUUGUUAGCUGGGUGUUUGUACUGCCUGGUGCCCUGUGUCUGAGCCCUCCUGGCAGAGAGCCCAUGCUCAUCCUGCGGCCAGAAAUCCUGAGACUGAGGGUCAGGCCGGAGUCCCCCAGGGGCCGUGCACCGCCUGAGACCCCCUGUCUGCGCCCACAACCAGAGACUGGGCUGCGGUGGGUGCAGGCCUCCUUCCUAGGCCCCUGCGAGCCAGGCCCUCUGAGCUGGGGUCCUGUGAGCCCCAGUGCUGGCUGAGCUCUGUCUGUGCUGUGUGCUUUCUCUGAGUAAACAGUCAUCCUGCUUGUGGGGCAUCUUGUUUUAUUUCGGGGUAUUCAGAGAGAGUCCUGCCUCUUGAGGCUGACAGGUCCUCAUACCUGUUUUCCAGAUGGGGAGUGGCUGGCCGUGUCCCAGGGUGGUCUCUGGGAUGCUGGCUGGUGGCUCCUUGCUGGGGUGAGUGGUGGGGCUGGGCUCCGAGGGCGGCGAGAGACACCUGGCAGGCAGGUCCCUUGUCCUCCCGAGGCCAUGCUCCUCUUCCAGCCGGGCUCUUGGUGGCCUUCACCACAAGGUCCCAGCAGAAUGGAGCAGGCAACGGCUGGAUCUCGUGGGCUGGGAUCUCGUGGGUUGGGAUCUUGUGGGCUGGGAUGUGGCGGUCCCCUCCCAAAGGCUCUCUGCCCUCACCUGGCCACCAGAGCUUCCCUGCUUCCCCGCUGUGUGGCUGGGUCCCUGCCUUGGGGAACCCUCGUCUGUCUGUCCACCGUGGCUCUGAGAAUCAUCUCUGGCUUGAGGUGAGGUAUGAAUGUCCCCUGCUCAGCUUUGCGGGGACGACAGGUCACGGAGCAGCCUGGGAGGUCUCAGAGUCCCAUGUUCGGUGACCGAAGGAGAGAAUGUGUGGCCCCUGCUGCGGGCGGGCGGGUGUUCCUCUGGGUCUCCCUGGGCUGUGGCAUGUCCCCGGUGCAGUUGUUUGUAGUAACCUCUAACCCAAGCUCCGUGGAGCUGACAAACUGUGCAGUCAGCUGCUUGUCAGCGAGGACCCUGCUGGACUCCGUCCCUUCCCACCUUGGCCUCUCUCAGCACCCCCCGUCCCCGGCUUUGCCUUGGGUCUCUCAUCCCUGAUGCUGAGUGGGUGUCACCUGAGCACCAGAGGCUGCUUGCUUUGGUCUAAAUUCUGGGCUCCGUGUGUUUAGAAGGAUGUCGUUUUAGUCUGUGUCGGUGGCUACAGCAAAAUACCACAGACUGGGUGCCUUGUAACCAGCAGGAAUCUAUUUCUCAUGGUUCCAGGGGCUGGAAGGUCCAGGAUCCCGGCUGCAGAUUCCGCGAGGUAUCUGCUGAGGGCCUGCCUCUGCCUCACAGAUGUCCUCCUGUGUCCCCUCUCAGCCGGAGGGGUGAGGGGGCUCUCUGGGGUCUCUUUCACGAGGACUCCACCUGUGAAUGCCAUCCCAUAGGGCACUGGGGAGUCAACACAGGAGUCUGGGGAGGACACAGAUGUUCUGACCUCAGCAGAUGUGGAAGGGACCUUGUUCUUCAGUGGCCCCAUCUAUGCCAGGGGACAGUCAGGAUGAGAUAAAACAGUGACAUCACAGUUUUUGCAGAGCGCUCUGUGGCUGUGGUCCCAAUACGGUGCAUUCAUGGUGUCUCUCUUACAUGGAUUUGCUUUCCCUUUUAAUUUUUUUAAAUGUUUAUAUUUGAGAGAGACAGAGUGUGAACGGGGGAGGGGCAGAGAGAGAGGGAGACACAGAAUCUGAAGCAGGCUCUGGACUCUGAGCUGUCAGCACAGAGCCGGACGCGGGGCUCAAACUCAUGGACCGAGAUCAUGACCUGAACCGAGUCGGACGCCCAACCCACUGAGCCGCUUAUGCACCCCUGAAUUUGCUUUCCUUUAGGAGCACUAUUUUAGUCUACAGUUGGAGAAUCGACUUCUCAAUCAAGGAACGGAAACCAAAUAGAUACUAGUGAUGAUCAAUGAGGUAUCUGGGAAGCACACUGUUCUCUUGGUUACCCAGCCCCAAUUAACCAGGUGGCCGGUGUCUCAAGGGUUCCCGUCAGAGAGACGGGAGUGGGGCGGGGGGCUGGGGCGGGAUCAGCCCUGUAAGGUCCAGGAACACGCAGCGAGAGGCUGAGCAGGACUCCACAGCCUGGAGCCUCCGAGGACCCGAGGACCCGGAUCAAGGGUUGUUACAGGUACGAGGAGAAACGGAGCACAUUAAACAGAUCUCCCCAAAUCGAAAGAUCACAUAAACACACACACGGAAAGUGGGGAUGUAUAACCGCUAACAAGCUUGACACAAUCUGCAUCUAAUGUUUAUUAUCUAUCGAUUAUCUAUCGACCUGUCUGUCUUUCCCAAGUGGAAAUAUUCAUCCUUUUGAAACACCCAAGGGGAACUGACAAAGGUUGAAAUGAUUUUGGCCACAGUGUUGGGUUAAAAGGACUGAAGAGUGGAAGAAAGAAUCUUUUUACUUGGAAAUUACAAACUUUCUUUUCUUUUAAAUUGUUUUUUAGUGUUUAUUUAUUUUUGAGAGAGAGAGAGACAGAGCGCAAGCAGAGGAGAGGCAGGGAGAGAGGGAGACACAGGAUCCAAAGCAGGCUCCAGGCUCCAAGCUGUCAGCACAGAAUCCAACACGGGGCUCGAACCCACAGACCAUGAGAUCAUGACCUGAGCUUAAGUCAGACACUUAACCAACCGAGCCACCCAGGCACCCCUCUUCUGCCCAUUUUUUUUUUAAUUUUUAAUGUUUAUUUUUGAGAAAGAGAGACAGAGCACAAGUAGGGGAGGGGCAGAGAGAGGGAGACACAGAAUCUGAAACAGGCUCCAGGCUCCGAGCUGUCAGCACAGAGCCCAACACGGGGCUCGAACUCACAGACCGCGAGAUCAUGACCUGAGCUGAAGUCGGACGCUCAACCAACUGAGCCCCCCAGGCGUCCCACAAACAAACUUUCUGUGUAAUUUUGGGUUCAAGGGGUAAUAUAGAUGGAAAUCACAAUCAUUUUCGAGUCCGUACCGCUAAAAGCACCAUCUGCAUCGGCUCACACGGGCUGCAUUUGUGCUCGGCAAUGGGGAGGGCGUGUGAGGUGUCUGGUGCCCAGUGUGACUGAGGGGGUCCCCUAGUGGGCAGCACCCCUCCUACACCAGCCCCCUGCCCAGCACGGGUAGGUAAGCGCUGGCGAGUGUUGACAGGGCCCCAAACCGCAGCACAGACCCAACAGUGUGUAGCCUUAGAUGCAUUUCCAGGAAAUACGAAAGAUGGAAAUAAAAUUCACUAAGCGUGCAACUCAAUACACUAGUAACAGAUAGCAAAGGAAACAUGGAAAGUGUAGAAGGAAGAAAUAAGAAAUGAUGGAAACAGAGGUAAUGAAAUCGAAAAGACAGACAGGCUUUGAUCAAUAAAACGGGGUCUGUGUUCGGAGUUGUGGUGGGGAACCUGAAUAGGAUGGUCUCCGCAGAUGAGGUUGGAAAGUCACUUAGAUUCCACCUCUCAAGUAGGACCGCAGGCCUUUCGGGUUUGCGAGUACUUUCUGCCAGAUCGUAGACAAAGACGGAAGUUCCCUAAAUAAUGGUGCUCGUCCAGGGCCACCUUGACCCACCAGGACUCGGUCUGAGAAGGUAGCAGAUGGCAGGGGCCUGACCGACAAGAAGCGGCUUAACCACGUGUGUGGUUGUAUUGAGCACACUUUUCAUUUUCUGUGAUUUACGAUGUUCCGGCAUCUUACAAACUCUUUCUGGCUUGGGAGGCUGGCCUCCCUGGGCCAGCGGUUCUCAGGGCAGGCGCAGGUCCCAGUGGAGUCCUGCCUUUGAUGUGCCUGCUGGCCAGCCCAGAGCCAGCCUGUGUGGACCAAGGAGGCAGUGCCUGAACCUCAUCAGCCCGGGGCCAGGUACCAGGCAGCUGGGGACAACCCGGAGUUUCGAACCUGCUGGAAUUAUUCAAGCCUCUCCUGCAUCUCCUCUUGUGGUGCACUGACUGGCAUCCCGUUGAAGAACACGGCCAGUGGCUGGGGCAGUGACCCAGGGAUGUCAUGAGGGGACCUGCUUCAUGACCUCCUUCCUUGAACUUGCCCGUCUGCUCAUCUUGGAGCAUUUCACCCGCGUGAAAGCAGGGGUAAGGAAGGGCAGAGGUAGUUUCUUCUUGGGAUUUCACCCUUUUUUUUUUUUUUCUUCCAAGUUUAUUUGUUUAUUUUGAGAGAGACAGAGACAGUGCUGGUAGGGGAGGGGCAGAGAGAGAGGGAGACACAGGAUCCCAAGCGGAGUCUGCACUGUCAGUGCAGAGUCAGAUGCAGGGUUCAAACUCUCGACCAUGAGAUCAUGACCUGAGCAGAAAUCAAGAGUCAGAUGCUUAAUUCACUAGGCCACCCAGUCACCCUAGGACUCCACCUUUUCCUCAGGAAAUCUCUCCCUUCCAGGGCUUCUCCCUGUGACUCUUGGCCAGACUCGUCUCACGGACCCACUCGUAGCCACUGGACAGGCUGGGAAUCAAUGUUCCAGAGGAGAAACACGGGACAGAGGAGAGGGAAUGAGCAGCCCCAGACCCUGCUGUCCAGGAACGCUGCAUCUUCUGGGAAGGCCCAAAGCCAACGCAGCUGGACGGCGUUCUUCUCUGCCCUUUGUCACAUCUGGAUUGCUUGUGUGGGGUGACCAGCCGGCCCAGACACGUCCCCAGUGACGGUCAAGAAAUCGGGUUUCCAGUUCCUUGGGACUUGGGCGCUGCUCCCCACAGCUUCCUGUCCCUCCCCCAGAAGCGAGCACAGAUCGCAGACCACGGAGGACACGGGGAGAGUGUGGUCGUCCAUUCGCCCAGCAGAGGCCCCGCAGGGAGGCCUGCGUCUCGGGCUUCAGCCCCUGGGACGGUGAGGAGUAAACUCACGUUUCUAGAGCUGCCUGGUUUGUGGUAUUUUUUUCGCGGCCCCUGAAGACUCAGUCAGGGGCUGGGUGGGGGGCAGGGCAGGCCCGCCUCACCUCUGCCUUGCAGGGUCCCUGGGGACAAGCCACCACCUCUCUGGUUUUCCUCCUUCGGCCCGACGACGGGACAAGUGCCCUGGGAAAGACCCGUAGCUGGUCUCUUCAAGAGCAACGGGGUCCCGUCCAGUGGUCCGGAGGCCCUGUCACUGGCUGGCCCCUGCCCCUCUGUGGCCCGUGACUUCAUGGGACAUGUACCGAGCCACACAGGUCCUCUGCCCUCGUCUUACGGGCACACUGGGUCGGCUCUCGGGCGCCAAUCUGCCUGCAGGAGACUCUGCACCUGGGGGCCUGGAGCUCUCACGGAGGGCACACUCCCACCCCAGCUGGCCGGCUGCGGGGGACGGUGCCCGAGCCACCAGCAGCCGGGCACCCACCGUGGCUCCAGAUCUGCCCACUUGUGGCCCAGAGACAGGGUUUACAAAGAGUUGCUAGAGAGGAGGUCUGUGCCUCUGCAUCCCAAAACCCACGCGGUCACAGCCGCCGGCCUGCAGGGUUUCAGUGUCUUCUGGGUGGAUCAGGGCUCUGGUAGGGAGGCGUCAGCCUCUCAUUAGAGACCUCUGAGGACCUCGUUUACUGUUGCCUGGGUCUGGGCAGGUGUGACUUGGAAAUUCGCAAGGACCUUCCUGAGGACGUGCGCACGUGGAGACUGACCAGCCAAUUCCCAGACCCUUGGUCUUUCCUGAAGCUGAUCUACUCGGGAGGGUUGGUGAAGGGAUAAAGGGUUUCCGUCUUUCUCUUUUACAAACUCUGUCCUCCCACUUCGCUCCCAACCUCUUGUCUGUCCCACGUGCGCGUGUCCCGGGGUCUCGUGUGCAUCUGGGAAGGGGCGUGACGCGACAGCUGGGAGGCUCCUCCCUUCGUGUGUCAAGGAUUUGAAGUGUUUGCUUUCAACUCAGGAGAAAAAGAACUAACUGGGAUUUCCCCGGAAGGGCCCAUGGGUGAAAGAUUCCCUUCAUUCUUGUGUGUGGAGACGUGUUUUCCUGCGGCCUUGAUACUCAAGGGACUGCUUGGCUGGACAUAAAUUCUCACCCGUGCUCCUGCCCCCUCAGUUUUGGAGAAAUUUGACUCUGUGGUUGUCUUGUUUAGUCUGGCCAUGGUUGAAAGGCUUAAUCUAAUUCUUUGUCUUUUUAAUUUCUUUUUUUAAAAACAUGUUUAUUUUUGAGAGAGAGAGAGAGAGAGACAGAGCAUGAGCGGGGGAGGGGCAGAGACAGAGGAAGACACACAAUCCAAAGCAGGCUCCAGGCUCCAAGCUGUCAGCACAGAGCCCGACGUGGGGCUCAAACCCAUGAACUGCCAGAUCAUGACCUGAGCUGAAGUCGGAUGCUCAACCGACUGAGCCACCCAGGCGCUCUGAGAUUUGGGCUGGGUUUUCAUGUCUUCAGAUGCUUGUUGGGUGGUAGUAUGUAAUUCCGUUUCGAGUGUAGUCAUGCCGUUGGCUUCCGUCUUCUUCCCGCCUCCUCCAAGGUCGGGCGGACUUUCCUCCCUCCAUUUGUGUGCGUUCAUUUCCUGCCGCCCGGCCGCCUUCUCUGUGCGUUUCAUCUCCUUGUUUAUUCCGCACGAAGUUUGCAGUUAGACCUGGCCUUUCCUGUGCGUCUGG